CAGCUCAGGUUUAUAUUCUAGGGGUUAUAAAAAAAAAUCUAAAUGUAUUUAUAAAGAAACCUUUAAAUAAUAUUUUAAAUAAUAGUCAUAAUUAUGAUUAUUAUUAGAAAUAUCAAAUAUUUAAGUAGAUUUUCUGUCACAUGUAUUGUUUUCGCCCUGCGAUAAACUGACAGCCUGUCUUUGUCCUGUAUCAGCUGGGAUAGGCUUCAUCCUCCCGAGACCUUGAAUUGGAUACAUUGUAUUCCAAUUAUGUAAUCUGAUCAUUUACAAACUCAAGGUAUCUAAUCAAAAUGUAAGUAAUAAUUAUAAAAUGGGAAAGCAGAAAUAAGUGUGACAUAAAUGUAAAUGUGUGAGCUGACAUAGAGGACAGCUACAUGUAGUCUGAAAAACCUUUGUUGUCAAGUUUGCAGGUCCAUCAGCACGAGACAUUCUUACAUAGAAGAGACUAUUAAAGUCUCUAACUCAGUGAAGCAUUAUUGGUCCAGUCUGUUUGGAUAAAUAUAAUAACCUGAUGUUUGUCCAUUUAUUGACACACUUUCUUAAGUGCUUAUCCAGUUCAGGAUCACAGUGGAGCUGCAGCUGGAUAUGUUCAGUAAAGAAACCUUAGAAAAGUUAACAAUAAACCUGCAUCUCUGUACGUUGUUGUCCACAGGAUGAGAAAAUCAAACUGGAAGACUGUGGAACAUGUUCAUAAAUGUGUGUGUGGUUAUGCCUGAAAGGUUUCCCUAAUAGUUCCUGGUGAAUCAAAGCAGGACCAUAAAGGUUGCUGGACUACAUGAUGGCCUUACCCCUGAGCAGUCAUCCUGUUAAAGGAGGAACCUGUUAGAAGCUGUUUUCAAAGUAGCUGAGCAGAUUUCAUCUCAACAGACAAAGCCGAUGGCAGAAGAUGUUUGGAGAAGAACUUCAGGCCGUGGACUGAAAAGUAGAUCAAAGCAGCUCGUGCUCUGUCUGCUUCCAUUCUG